UAUAUUUGCGGCAUCGCAGAUAUAUCAAAGUGUUAGCGGUAUAGGAUGGACCCGCGUCUGAUUAGCUAGUUGGUGAGAUAACUGCCCACCAAGGCGACGAUCAGUAGCCGACCUGAGAGGGUGAUCGGCCACAUUGGAACUGAGACACGGUCCAAACUCCUACGGGAGGCAGCAGUGGGGAAUAUUGCACAAUG
rnacentral:rRNA from 1 species